CUGUCUAUGACAUAAACAUGAAUAUAUCAUAUGGACACGAUUAUGAAAAAGAAUUAUUUAUAUGUUUUCAUCAUAACUUAUAUGCACUAGGUAAGCAUUACAAUUCGAUUAUAGACAUACAAUCUUAACGAUG